rnacentral:tRNA from 1 species
AUCUAAAUAGUUUAAUAAAAAAAUAUUGAUUUGUGGAAUCAAAGAUAUAGGUAAUAUUUUAGAUU